AGGAAAUACGUGCUCUUUGAUUGCCGCUAGUCUUUCAUCUCUAUUUCAACACUUCCAUCUUCUAUCCUGCUUUCAAAAAUGGCGGUCCGUCUAAGCCUCACUCUACGCCACCCGCUUCUUCCCACCAGUUAUCCAAUUCCAGUCAGAGCUACUCAAUUCCGCCGAUUCGCAGUUCAGAAUUGCGUCUCCGAUUCCGAUGACUCUCGCAAGCUUGUCUUGGAAGUGAAGGAGAAACUCGAAAGAGAAUAUUCUAGUCUUCCUCUAGGUCGGAAUGGAAGAGACGAUGAAGAGAUGAUCCUCUGGUUUCUGAAGGACCGAAAGUUUUCUGUUGAAGACGCGGUUGCAAAAUUAACAAAAGCUAUUAACUGGCGUCAGGAAUUUGGAGUAGAUGAAUUGUCUGAAGAUUCAGUAAAAGGAAUGGCUGAAACUGGAAAGGCAUUCAUCCAUGAUUUUCUUGAUGUCAACGACCGGCCAGUACUCAUGGUCGUAGCUUCCAAGCACUUACCUACAGUCCAUGAUCCUGUUGAGGAUGAGAAAUUGUGUGUGUUCUAUGUAGAGAAGGCACUGAGCAAGCUUCCACCUGGAAAAGAAGAAAUACUCGGAAUAGUUGAUCUUCGAGGUUUUCGUACCGAGAAUGCAGAUCUUAGAUUCUUGACAUUUUUGUUUGAUGUGUUCUACUUCUACUAUCCAAAACGGCUAGGUCAAGUCCUCUUUGUAGAAGCUCCAUCUGUGUUCAGACCACUAUGGCAACUUACCAAGCCAUUACUAAAAUCAUAUGCCUCUCUGGUGAGAUUUUGUUCCGUAGAUACAAUCAAAAAGGAAUACUUUACUGAAGCUACACUGCCGGCCAUCUUUAAAGACUAAGGAAUUAAUGUUGUCACUCUCGACAAACAGGUCCAAAUUAGGUUGUAUUAAGACAAGCGCGUACUCAAAAGAUUAUAAAAUUCCACCUGUUCAUAUUUUGGGAAAUAAAAAAGAAGAGUCUUUCAAGUACAUUUGAUAUUCACUUUGCUAAUUGUGAGGCUACAUUUCUUCAGAGAUGAAGGUCCGUUAACACUAAUAAGCCCAUGGAACUUGAAUUCUGCAUAACCAGGUCCACUGUUGGGUCUUUCUACGAUAUGAUGUGGACGCCCUGAUGGAGAAAAUAUUUCAUACCAAUGAAAAAGUGUGGAGUUUUUCCCUCUCAAAUUAUAUGUUUUGAUUUGAUACACAAUGAGGAAUCCAGAGAUUUUCAAGUAUUCAAACGUGGAGUGUGGAGGUAAGUGAUUCCAUCUAUAAAAGAAGUUCAAAACUUCAAACACAUGAAUAUUUAUUCUUGUUUCAUUUUAAAUUAUCACCAAGUGUUUUUUUUUUUCUUUCAAUGUAUUCUAAAUUUAUAAAAACAUAACAUAUUGCAUAAAUUCCUCAAAUUAUAAUCUCGCAAUUGUGCAA